UGGGGAAUAUUGCACAAUGGGCGAAAGCCUGAUGCAGCAACGCCGCGUGAGCGCUGAAGGCCUUCGGGCCGUAAAGCUCUGUCCUCAAGGAAGAUAAUGACGGUACUUGAGGAGGAAGCCCCGGCUAACUACGUGCCAGCAGCCGCGGUAAUACGUAGGGCGCUAGCGUUAUCCGGAAUUACUGGGCGUAAAGGGUGCGUAGGUGGUUACUUAAGUCAGAGGUGAAAGGCUACGGCUCAACCGUAGUAAGCCUUUGAAACUGGGAAACUUGAGUGCAGGAGAGGAGAGUGGAAUUCCUAGUGUAGCGGUGAAAUGCGUAGAUAUUAGGAGGAACACGAGUUGCGAAGGCGGGUCUCUGGACUGUAACAGACACUGAGGCACGAAGGCGUGGGGAGCAAACA
rnacentral:rRNA from 1 species